rnacentral:rRNA from 1 species
UCAGACGAUGCGUCAUGCAUAUCAAUAAGCGGAGGAAAAGAAACUAACAAGGAUUCCCUCAGUAACGGCGAGUGAAGCGGGAAGAGCUCAAAUUUGAAAUCUUGAAAGGUCACCUUUCACGAAUUGUAGUUUAAAGAAGUGUUUUCUGUUACGAUCGUAAUAUAAGUUCUUUGGAAUAGGACAUCACAGAGGGUGAGAAUCCCGUCUAUGAUUGCGAUUUGUAGCUUUGUGAUACACUUUCAAAGAGUCGGGUUGUUUGGGAAUGCAGCCCAAAACGGGAGGUAAAUUUCUUCUAAGGCUAAAUAUUGGCGAGAGACCGAUAGCGAACAAGUACCGUGAGGGAAAGAUGAAAAGAACUUUGAAAAGAGAGUUAAACAGUACGUGAAAUUGUCAAAAGGGAAGCGUUUAACACCAGUGUUGUUUUCUCGAAAAUCAAUUAAAAAGAGUUAGAUUUUGUUGUGUAUUGACCUUAACAGCUUGCAUUUCAAUUUUCUUGCUUUUUUUAAUGCACUUUUCGUUUAACAAGUCGACAUCAGUUUCUUUUGUUGUAAAAAGGUCAUUGGAAGGUGGCUUUCUUUUCGGAGAAAGUGUUUAUAGCCUUUGACUCCUGCAAUCGGAGAGACUGAGGUCUGCAGCGUAGAUCCUUCGGGGUUAGAUACAUUUGUGCUAAGUUAUAGCUUUUUAUAGACAACUUGUUGACUAUGAUUAGUCUUGUAGCUUACUCGCUUAUGCUAUUUUACCUACGCUUAGGAUGUUGAUCUGUAGUGCGUGCGC